rnacentral:rRNA from 1 species
CGGAUUGUAGUCUGCAACUCGACUACAUGAAGCUGGAAUCGCUAGUAAUCGCGAAUCAGAAUGUCGCGGUGAAUACGUUCCCGGGUCUUGUACACACCGCCCGUCACACCAUGGGAGUCAGUAACGCCCGAAGUCAGUGACCCAACCAAUCAGGAGGGAGCUGCCGAAGGUGGGACCGAUAACUGGGGUGAAGUCGUAACAAGGUAUC